AUUCCGAAGACGAGCCCCGAACAGGACGAAAUGCGCAUCCUGGAU
rnacentral:hammerhead_ribozyme from 1 species